GCCUCCGUGGCGCAAUUGGCUAGCGCGUUCGGCUGUUAACCGAAAGGUUGGUGGUUCGAACCCACCCGGGGGCG
rnacentral:tRNA from 1 species